UAAUUUUAAAGCCAAACUAUCUGUAAAGGUAGGACGGAAAGCCAUGGGUCUCAUGUAGAUCGCCUAGUUGCUUCA
rnacentral:ncRNA from 1 species